rnacentral:tRNA from 1 species
GCCGGGAUAGCUCAGUGGUAGAGCAAUGGUUUUGUAAACCAUAGGGCGACGGGUUCGAAUCCCUCUCCCGGCU